rnacentral:rRNA from 1 species
UACGUAGGGUGCGAGCGUUGCCCGGAUUUACUGGGCGUAAAGGGCGCGUAGGCGGCCACCGCAAGUCGACUGUGAAAUCUCCGGGCUUAACCCGGAAAGGUCAGCCGAUACUGCGGGGCUAGAGUGCAGAAGGGGCAACUGGAAUUCUCGGUGUAGCGGUGAAAUGCGUAGAUAUCGAGAGGAACACCUGCGGCGAAGGCGGGUUGCUGGGCUGACACUGACGCUGAUGUGCGAAAGCUAGGGGAGCGAACGGG